GAUGAACGCUAGCGGGAGGCCUAACACAUGCAAGCCGAGCGGUAUUGUUUCUUCGGACAUGAGAGAGCGGCGUACGGGUGCGGAACACGUGUGCAACCUGCCUUUAUCUGGGGGAUAGCCUUUCGAAAGGAAGAUUAAUACUCCAUAACAUAUUGAACGGCAUCGUUCGAUAUUGAAAGCUCCGGCGGAUAGAGAUGGCCACGCGCAAGAUUAGCUAGUUGGUGAGGUAACGGCUCACCAAGGCGAUGAUCUUUAGGGGGCCUGAGAGGGUGAUCCCCCACACUGGUACUGAGACACGGACCAGACUCCUACGGGAGGCAGCAGUGAGGAAUAUUGGUCAAUGGGUGCAAGCCUGAACCAGCCAUCCCGCGUGAAGGACGACUGCCCUAUGGGUUGUAAACUUCUUUUGUAUAGGGAUAAACCUGCCCUCGUGAGGGUAGCUGAAGGUACUAUACGAAUAAGCACCGGCUAACUCCGUG
rnacentral:rRNA from 1 species